UACAGAGGUCUCAAGCGUUGUUCGGAUUCAUUGGGCGUAAAGGGUGCGUAGGUGGCGCUGUAAGUCGGGUGUGAAAUUUCGGAGCUUAACUCCGAAACUGCAUUCGAUACUGCGGUGCUUGAGGACUGGAGAGGAGACUGGAAUUCAUGGUGUAGCAGUGAAAUGCGUAGAGAUCAUGAGGAAGACCAGUGGCGAAGGCGGGUCUCUGGACAGUUCCUGACACUGAGGCACGAAAGCGUGGGUAGCAAACAGG
rnacentral:rRNA from 1 species